rnacentral:rRNA from 1 species
AAAUGCUAGUCUAAGCGUUUAGGGAGUUACGGUAGGCAAAUCCGCUGUAACAAUUCUGAGGCGUGAUGGGGAAGGCCAUAUAGGCCGAAGUACAUGAUUCCAUGCUUCCAAGAAAAGCAUCUAGAGAGAGAAGUAGUGCCCCUACCGCAAACCGACACAGGUAGAUGAGGAGAGAAUCCUAAGGCCGGCGGAAGAAUUGCAGUUAAGGAACUAGGCAAAUUGACCCCGUAAGUUCGCGAGAAGGGGUGCCUGCGAGAGCAGGCCGCAGAGAAUAGGCCCAAGCAACUGUUUAGCAAAAACACAGGUCUCUGCUAAAGCGUAAGCUGAUGUAUAGGGGCUGACGCCUGCCCGGUGCUGGAAGGUUAAGGGGAACACUUAGCGCAAGCGAAGGUGUGAACUUAAGCCCCAGUAAACGGCGGCCGUAACAAUAACGGUCCUAAGGUAGCGAAAUUCCUUGUCAGGUAAGUUCUGACCCGCACGAAUGGCGUAAUGACUUGGGCACUGUCUCAACUGCAAAUCCGGCGAAGUUGUAGUGCGAGUGAAGAUGCUCGCUACCCGCGAUUGGACGGAAAGACCCCGUAGAGCUUUACUGUAGCUUAGCAUUGAAUUCCGGUAUUGUCUGUACAGGAUAGGUGGGAGACUGGGAAACUAGGGCGUCAGCCUUAGUGGAGUCAACCUUGGGAUACCACCCUGACAGUACUGGGGUUCUAACAGGACGCCAUGAAUCUGGUGACUGGACAUUGUUAGGUGGGCAGUUUGACUGGGGCGGUCGCCUCCUAAAAAGUAACGGAGGCGCCCAAAGGUUCCCUCAGAACGGUCGGAAAUCGUUCGUAGAGUGCAAAGGCAGAAGGGAGCCUGACUGCGAGACAUACAAGUCGAGCAGGGACGAAAGUCGGGCUUAGUGAUCCGGUGGUACCUCGUGGGAGGGCCAUCGCUCAACGGAUAAAAGCUACCUCGGGGAUAACAGGCUGAUCUCCCCCAAGAGUCCACAUCGACGGGGAGGUUUGGCACCUCGAUGUCGGCUCGUCGCAUCCUGGGGCUGUAGUAGGUCCCAAGGGUUGGGCUGUUCGCCCAUUAAAGCGGCACGCGAGCUGGGUUCAGAACGUCGUGAGACAGUUCGGUCCCUAUCCGUCGCGGGCGUAGGAAAUUUGAGAGGAGCUGUCCUUAGUACGAGAGGACCGGGAUGGACUGACCUCUGGUGCACCAGUUGUUCCGCCAGGAGCAUGGCUGGGUAGCUAAGUCGGGAAGGGAUAAACGCUGAAAGCAUCUAAGCGUGAAGCCUCCCUCAAGAUGAGAUUUCCCAUAGCAUAAGCUAGUAAGACCCCUUGAAGAACACAAGGUUGAUAGGUCAGAGGUGUAAGUGCGGUAACGUAUUUAGCUGACUGAUACUAAUAGGUCGAGGGCUUGAUCAA